AAAUUAGAGAUGUCAAAUAAAGUAAACCUUAGUAUGGAUAUGUUAGAAAUGCAAAACUGAGUAGCUGAAGCACAGGGAAAUUUGAAAAUAGUGAUCUGCUAAUCUGGAAUAAUCGGGAAGAAGAGACAGAAAAAAGGUCAAAUCACUUACUGAGACCUACUUGGUGCUACAUUUCCCUCCCAGAAGGAGCAGGGAAAAGAAACAGUUCUUGUAGAUGUAGUUUGGUUCCAUAUCUUUGCCAAUAAGAAGAUUCUGAAUGUGGUAUGUUUGCUAAUGACGGUAAUAUGAUAAGCGUCAUCAUUUCUUUUUCAAAAACUCGUGAAGUUUAGGUUAUAAACUAGCCUGAACAUAUUUUAUAACUUAAGAAACAAACUGUGGAAAAUGGUCAUUUCAUUUUUUACAUACAAUUAGGAAGCAUAUGUAGUAUAAAUUCAACUUUCUCUUGAUAUUUUAUAACACUUUGUAUGAAGUAUCGGGUAAAGUAACUUUAUCAACACGGUAUCUGUUUCAAAACAAUUCUGUAUUUCUGGCCUUGAAGCUCAGUGACUUAAGGGACCUGUCUUCCAAAAUGCCUUUUUUUUUUUUUUUUUCAGCUCCCUAGGAAAGGAUGCCUAAUACAAUUUGGUCAUAUUUGAGGCCACAAGAUUCAGUGCAAAAGGAAGUCUGCAUUCUGAGUAGGCUGAUUUCCUCUUUCUGGUCAUAAAUUAGUGUAGGUCUGCUUUCUGCUGUGCACAUACCACAUAAUCUUUAUAAAACCUAGAUAUACGGUACUGGAGAGAUUUCCUUUGUUUAUUAUCAAUUGGGUUAAUUAUUCAUGUCUUUUAUAAGACUUUAGCUGAAGUAUGUUAACAAAUAGUAAAUUUAAAUCUCUUGAUUUUGACUGAAUUUUCUGGAAUAAGCUUUUGGUAAAUUGUAAAAAAAAAAAUAAUUAUAGUUGUGGUGAUGUUUCAGCUUGUGGCAGUCUUAUGAUGAACAAAGGAAGACAAUGGUAAAUGACUAUAGGGUGCUUGCAAAACAAGACUUAAAACUCUUUAAAUUGUGCAGCAUAAACAAAGUUAGCAAAAUGAUGUUUGCUUCCAGAGGCAUUUUUUUAUCUUAAAUUAAAUAUUGUUACCUCAAUUGUAUAAUGUUUUUCUAUAUGUAUGAUUUGUUUAGGAUCUGACAGUUUUUGCAAAUUAAUUUUAACUUGAAUUACAUCCAUUUUUCU